AAAGAGAACAUUGAGAAUAGUCAAUAGAAGAUUGAUCCUUCUCAAGAUGAUUCUUACGAGAAUUCACAGAAGAGUUGUUGGGAAUGAAAAUAACUUGAUCUCUUU
ncrna:unclassified sequences Parabacteroides-1 RNA